rnacentral:rRNA from 1 species
GUACACGCUGUGACUAGCAUAUCAAUAAGCGGAGGAAAAGAAACUAACAAGGAUUCCCCUAGUAACGGCGAGUGAAGCGGGAAGAGCUCAAAUUUGAAAUCUUAAAGGGUUUCCCUUUACGAAUUGUAGUUUAAAGAAGUGUUUUCUGUUGAGGUUUUGGUAAAAGUUCUCUUGGAAUAGGACAUCAUAGAGGGUGAGAAUCCCGUAUUUGACCUUUACUUUCAACUUUGUGAUACACUUUCAAAGAGUCGGAUUGUUUGGGAAUGCAGUCCAAAAUGGGUGGUAAAUUUCAUCUAAAGCUAAAUAUUGGCGAGAGACCGAUAGCGAACAAGUACCGUGAGGGAAAGAUGAAAAGAACUUUGAAAAGAGAGUUAAACAGUACGUGAAAUUGUCAAAAGGGAAGCGCUUGACACCAGUGUUGUUUUUCUGAAAAUCAAUUAAAGAACUGUUUAUGCUAAGUUGUUUAGACUUUAUCAGCUAACUGUUUAGUUUUGAGCUUUUCUUUAAUGCACUUUUCAGCUAACAAGUCAACAUCAAUUUCUUUUGCUGUAAAAAAGCUUGAGGAAGGUGGCUUGAGAUUCGUCUUAAGUGUUUAUAGCCUCUUGCCUAUGCAGUCGGAGAGAUUGAGGUCUUGCAGCGUAGAUCCUUCGGGGCUAAAUGCAUUUGUGCUAAGUUAUAGCAUUUCAUAGACAACUUGUUGACUAUGAUUUGUCUUGUAGCUUACUCGCUUAUGUUAUUUUACCUACGCUUAGGAUGUUGACAGCAGUAUAGACUGU